UCAAGCUACAAAGGGCGCAAGGAGAAUGCCUUGGCACUGGGAGCCGAUGAAAGACGUGGUAAGCUGCGAUAAGCUUCGGGGAGGAGCAAACAUCCUUUGAUCCGGAGAUUUCUGAAUGAGGAAACUCACCAGAGUUCAUACUCUGGUAUCCUGUACUGAAUCCAUAGGUACAGGAGGGGAACCGCCUGAACUGAAACAUCUAAGUAGGGCGAGGAAGAGACAUCAAACGAGAUUCCGUUAGUAGUGGCGAGCGAACGCGGAAGAGGGCAAACCGGAAGGAGAAAUCCUUCCGGGGUAUGGACCGCUUUUAGGACUUUAGCUGUUAAUCGAAUGGCAUGGGAAGGCCAACCAAAGAGUGUGAGAGUCACGUAGAUGAAAACGGCGAGAGCUGCGCGAGUUCCAGAGUACGGCCAGACACGUGAAACCUGGUCGGAAGAUGGGGGGACCACCCUCCAACCCUAAAUACUACCCAGUGACCGAUAGCGUAUAGUACUGUGAAGGAAAGGUGAAAAGGACCCCGGGAGGGGAGUGAAAUAGAACCUGAAACCUUGUGCCUACAAGCACAUAGAGCACAUCAACGUGUGAUAUGGUACUUUUUGUAGAACGGUCCGGCGAGCGAUUGUAUGUUGCGAGCUUAAGGUCUUAAGGACUGGAGGCGUAGCGAGAGCGAGUCUGAACAGGGCGUUCAGUAACAUGCAAUGGGCCCGAAACCGGGUGACCUACCCAUGAUCAGGCUGAAGUGAAAGUAAAAUUUCAUGGAGGGCCGAACCGACCUCCGUUGAAAAGGCGGCGGAUGAAUUGUGGGUAGCGGAGAAAUUCCAAUCGAACUCGGAGAUAGCUGGUUCUCCCCGAAAUAGCUUUAGGGCUAGCCUCAUAUUAGAUACCCGGAGGUAAAGCACUGAAUGGCCUAGCGCCCGAGAGGGUAGCGAAGCCUAUCAAACUAAGAAUGCCGGAGUAUUGAUGUAUGGGAGUCAGACAGUGUGAGAUAAAUCUCAUUGUCAAAAGGGAAACAGCCCAGAUCUACAGCUAAGGUCCCAAAUUGUAUCUAAGUGGAAAACGAUGUGGAAAUACGCAGACAACCAGGAUGUUGGCUCAGAAGCAGCCACUCAUUUAAAGAGUGCGUAAUAGCUCACUGGUCGAGCGUCUCUGCGCGGAAAAUUUAACGGGGCUAAGAUACAAACCGAAGCUUAGGCUGCAUCGUAAGAUGCGGGGUAGGGGAGCGUUGUGUAAGCGGAGAAACAGUAGCGUAAGCGGCUGUGGAGUUUACAGAAGUGAGAAUGCCGGAAUGAGUAGCGCGAAUGUGGUGAGAAUCCACAUGGCCGGAAACCUCAGGUUUUUGGAGGAAGGUUCGUCCGCUCCAAGUUAGGCGGGAGCUAAGGUCAGGCCGAAAGGCGUAGCCGAUGCACAGACGGUAGAGAUUCCGUCCCCACCGAAAGAUUUAAGCACAGGGACACUUUUUGAAGGUCGGAGCCAGGUGUUGGUUCUGGUAGUGAUCGAGGGAAAUAUAGUACCGAAGUCCGGCUGGAGAAGAGGCGAGAAAAGCUGUGUGUAUAUCUAAGGUGCCCGUACCGCAAACCGACACAGGUAGGUAGGAAGAAGAUUCUAAGGCCAACGGGAGAAGGGUUGUUAAGGAACUCGGCAAGUUGACCCCGUAACUUCGGAAUAAGGGGUGCUCACGAGAGUGAGCCGCAGAGAAUAGGCCCAGGCAACUGUUUACCAAAAACACAGGUUUGUGCUAAAUCGAAAGAUGACGUAUACGAGCUGACGCCUGCCCGGUGCUGGAAGGUUAAAAGGAGAUGUGCAAGCAUUGAAUUGAAGCCCCAGUGAACGGCGGCCGUAACUAUAACGGUCCUAAGGUAGCGAAAUUCCUUGUCAGGUAAGUUCUGACCCGCAUGAAAGGCGUAAUGAUCUGGGCACUGUCUCAACAGCCCGCCCGGCGAAAUUGUAGUACCGGUGAAGAUGCCGGUUACCCGCGACAAGACGGAAAGACCCCAUGGAGCUUUACUGUAGCCU
rnacentral:rRNA from 1 species